GACGAAGCACACAAACGUUAUUCGGAAUUACUGGGCUUAAAGGGUGCGUAGGCGGCGCGGAAAGUUGGGUGUGAAAUCCCUCGGCUCAACCGAGGAACUGCGCUCAAUACUACCGUGCUCGAGGGAGACAGAGGUGAGCGGAACUUAGGGUGGAGCGGUGAAAUGCGUUGAUAUCCUAAGGAACACCCGUGGCGAGAGCGGCUCACUGGGUCUCUUCUGACGCUGAGGCACGAAAGCUAGGGUAGCGAACGGG
rnacentral:rRNA from 1 species